GGACAGGUGGCUGAUUUAGGCGGCGGGUUGUAAAACCGCUUAUGGGAAUUUCCCCCGGUUC
rnacentral:tRNA from 1 species